GAUGAACGCUGGCGGCGUGCUUAACACAUGCAAGUCGAACGGUGAAGCAGGAGCUUGCUCUUGUGGAUCAGUGGCGAACGGGUGAGUAACACGUGAGCAACCUGCCCCUGACUCUGGGAUAAGCGCUGGAAACGGCGUCUAAUACUGGAUAUGUGAUGUGACCGCAUGGUCUGCAUCUGGAAAGAAUUUCGGUUGGGGAUGGGCUCGCGGCCUAUCAGCUUGUUGGUGAGGUAAUGGCUCACCAAGGCGUCGACGGGUAGCCGGCCUGAGAGGGUGACGGGCCAAACUGGGACUGAGACACGGCCCAGACUCCUACGGGGGGCAGCGGGGGGGAAUAUGGAACAAGGGGCGGAGGCCGGAGCCGGCAAGGCCGCGUGAGGGAUGACGGCCUUCGGGUUGUAAACCUCUUUUAGCAGGAAAGAAGCGAAAGUGACGGUACCUGCAGAAAAAGCACCGGCUAACUACGUGCCAGCCGCCGCGGUAA
rnacentral:rRNA from 1 species